rnacentral:rRNA from 1 species
CCAUUAGCGGGGGACAACGUGUGGAAACGCACGCUAAUACCGCAUACGCCCUACGGGGGAAAGCAGGGGACUCUUUGAGCCUUGCACUAAUGGAUGAGCCUAGGUCAGAUUAGCUAGUUGGUGGGGUAAAGGCCUACCAAGGCGACGAUCUGUAGCGGGUCUGAGAGGAUGAUCCGCCACACUGGAACUGAGACACGGUCCAGACUCCUACGGGAGGCAGCAGUGGGGAAUAUUGGACAAUGGGCGCAAGCCUGAUCCAGCAAUGCCGCGUGUGUGUAGAAGGCCUUAGGGUUGUAAAGCACUUUCAGUGGGGAGAAAGGUCAUUCACCUAAUACGUGAGUGAAUUGAUGUUACCCACAGAAGAAGCACCGGCUAACUCCGUGCCAGCAGCCGCGGUAAU